ensembl:lncRNA
AUAAAACAUCGGGAGUGUGGUGAACGUUUUAGGCUUAGAAAGGCAACGGAUACAGUAAAUCACAUGGUGUGUGCAUGUUGGAGCAGGAAUCCCCAGCGCCGCACUCCCAACACCGAGUUCACCUUGGGACGGUUCCCCAUAGCAUCUCCCAGAGCUUUGUAAGGUGCCUCCUAUGAUUCAUUGUGGAUUUCAUCUCACAUGGGUUGCAUGAUGGCUGAUAGUGGAAAGCAAUAGAUGCAUUGCUCCUUCCAGCUCUGAUUCUGGAUGUUGUUUGCUCUCUCUGAUGUUUACACAGGGAACCUACGCCCUAAGGCAGGAGCAGUGUGGUAUCUUUGCUCAGGUGCCCACAUUACAAGCACCACCACAAUUGGCAGCAAUAGCAGAGAAGUUAACAAAUUGACUGAGCCCAGCUAUUCUUUCCAAAUAUCUUUUUCCCCUGCAGUGUAACAGUUCUGCUCAGUGAGAGCAGCUCACAGUCAAUGGUGGCACACUUGACACUGAAGCCAGAAAGAGUCAGGCAUGGGGACUAGAAAAGCUGCUGGCUCAAAACCAUUGGUGUAUUCCCUAAAGAGGAAUCAACUGCCAAGGAUUUGCCAGGUGCUGGUUCUGCCUCCCACUGUUCCUAAGAACAUUUCUCAUGAGAAUCAUCAGCAUUUGCUGCCAAGAUACCCACAACUCUGAUGAUGCUUUUGUCGGCUGUUUUUGCUUCAAAGGAUACAGUGUCAUUGAAAGACUAAUGCACAGGAUCACAAUUCAUGUCACUUUUGGGGAAGACAGGGAAUCAUCAAGAGAAGACUGUGGGAUGCUAUUUUAAAGAUAAAGCUUUAUAUUCAAAUUCAUUUAGGUAGUUAAUGCAUGAAUGGAUGUGAUUUUUCAGCAGUUCAGCUGUAGAAGAUAAAAAUAGCAUUUUUUUUAAUUGAGGGAAUAUACUCAUUGAUUAUCAGUAGAAAAAAGAGGAAUAUAUUAAACUGCAGCAGGUGAACAUCAUACAAAGUUCUCUUGUUAAUAAGACCGCAUUGGUAGAUCUACAGACUUUACAUUACAGAGUGAUUAUUUCACUGUCUCAUCAGAACUGUAGAUCAAAACUGUGAAACUUCACAGCAUUACCUCUGAGGUGAAAUAGAACUACGCAAAGCAUGUUGGUGAAGCAGAAAAGAAGAUGCUAUUCAAGUUGACAGAAGAUUUAUAGCUUUGGAUCAAAUCCACCUUCCUUCAGUUUUAAACUGAAGUGCCAUUUUCUCAUUUCUGGGCUUUGGCUAAGUGUAUUGUAUUUCAGUUUAUCCAUGAAAAUGACCUGUUUUGUUUCUUCUAGACUUAGUCCAUAACAUGAUAUGCAUAACAGCACAAGUGCGUAAGUUGUCAAAACCAUGGCCCCUCCAAAUAAUAAUAAUAAUAAUAAUACAAAGAAACAAUGAUCAUUUAAAAACCACAGUUCUGGCACGAGGAUUUCAAACAACAAAAGUUCCUAAUACUUCUUGUUUCAGAGGUUGAUCACCCAUUCUGUAUGAAAAGUGCCUAAUUUCUCACACAAAUUGAUGUGGCCUCAGCUUUCAGCCUUUAUCAUACUUUCCUUGGCUGUUAAAAGACCUUCAGUUUUCUUUUCAUAAAUGCAUUUAUGCACUGUAGUCUGAUUCUGAAUUUUAUUUUUAAUGGCCUAAACCUGUUGAACUCUUUAAGUCCUCAUAAUAGGGUAUUUUCUACAGGACUUGAACAAUUCAGUGACUCUGUUUUUAAGAGCAGCGAUUUUUUCAAAUGUAUCUAGCUUUUUAAUGCAUUCAUCUUUGCUAUGGAGAAAAAUGAAGCCAUCACCCAUUUUUCCUACAUUUAUACAUCCUCAGUUUAUAUUAGCCCUUUUGCUGCAGCAUCGCAGUGGAAAUGUGUUCUAUUGCUUGCCCACUUUGACCCUAAAUCAUUUCAAAGUGGUUGCUUUUCAAGACGCUGUUUUAAAUAUAUUUCAAAAUGCUGUUCUGCUGUGUGCCCUAGGUUUCUAGGUCUGCAGUAGCCAAAACUUACGUCCAUUUUGUCUGAAAAGCGUGGCUUAUCAAACAAGAGAGAUCAUUCUGUACAUGCAUUCUGUCUUCAUUUAUAUGUGCCAACACUGGUGUUACACGUGAAUGUUAUCUACAAUACCUUCUAUUUUCAAAUUAUUAACUGAAAUAGUAAUCGGAUUUAAGCUUCAUGCUAAUGUAAUCAGAUACAUCCCCACUCGAUGAAGAUUAUUUAUCACCAAGUGUUUGAGAUGUCUGCUUUAGGAACAAGUUACAUACUUUAAUUUCUUUGCAUGUAUACAUUUAAUCCCAAUACAUCUGCUACUGCUUCUGCAUUCCUGGAUGCUCCUUGUCCCUCCCUGACAUGUGCUUCCUGCC